rnacentral:SRP_RNA from 1 species
CGACAGAUCCCAAGCUACGUGUGCUGCCCAACCCCGUCAGGAUCGGAAGAUAGCAGCGGUAAGUGGAUUUCACGUGAGACUCGGACAAUUUGUCGCCU